CUGGGGCGAACAGCUGAUCUGAUUGCAGUGCUGUGAAGGAUAAAACAUAUACAAAUAAGAUUACAAAUCAGAGAAAUUGUUGAAGUCAGAGUUUCCUGAUGUUUACAAAGAAAAGCCCUUGAGAUGGACGAUCAGGACAAGUGCCGCAUCUGUUCCGGCUGCAUUGAGUGCAAGGAGGAGGCAUACAACUUGCUGCAACUGCCCGAAGUGGCCGCAAUGUUCACCGCCUGCACAGAUUUGGUAGUGGACCCCCAAGAGGAGGACUUCUUGCCAAGCGAGCUGUGCAGCGGCUGCUACGGGGAGCUGGAGAAGUACCAUUCGUUCCGCAAACUCUGCAUAGAGGCCGACAAUAAAUGGCGCUUGCAGAAGGAAAGCGCUUGCACACUGGGGGAAUUGGAGUUUACACUUGUGGAAUCAGAGGACGGGUUUGACGAUGUGGACGACAUGCCGCUCAGCACAUUGGAAACGAAAAGCCCUGGGCCCCCCCUUGAAGCCACCGAGGUGGUGCUGGUCGAUGGCGAAUUCCAAGAGAAAAAACCAUGCCAAAGAAUAAAAAGAGGAAAUAAGGAAAAGGUAGAGAAAAAGGCAGGGAAACGGACGAAGACAAAUCCUAAAGAGGUUCCGCCAACGGAAGAGCCGGGUGCGAGCUACAAGUGCGACACCUGCUCGAAAGAGUUUGUCGAUGACAGUCGCCUGCAGGCGCAUAUGCGAGAGCACGAUGGCCACCUGCUCUUUCCCUGCACAGAGCCUGGCUGUGACAAGAGCUUCAGUCGGCUGCAGGACCUUAAUGUACACCUGCGGGAGCAUGAGGGCACGGGUACGUGGUACACCUGCAACCAGGAGGGCUGCAGCAAGAGCUACCGCCACAAGGGCACUCUGGUGAUGCACAAACGCCAGAGCCAUGGAAUCGGACCGAAGCUCAAGUUGCACGUGUGUGAGUUCUGCGGCAGGGUCUUGAACAGCCUGGCUGCCCUCAACCACCAUCGGUUCACGCACAAGGACAAGCUGGUGAAGCCGUAUGCCUGCGAGGAGCCGGGCUGCUCUGUACGCUUCCUCAGCGAGGAGAAGCUCAAGGUGCACAUGAUGCGGCACAGGGGCAUCAAGAACUUCACGUGUCCCCACUGCGGCGCCAAGAAAACAACAAAGAAUGAGCUGAAGCUGCACAUCAACUAUCACACGCUGGAGCGCACCUGGCCCUGUCCGCAUUGCUCCAAGGUGUGCAACAGCUCCACCAGCAGGAAAAUGCACAUUCGCACGAAUCACGAGAAGACCAAGAGCUAUGCCUGCAGCAUCUGUGACAAGAGAUUCACCAAGCCGGACACGCGGAAGUACCACGAGCUGACGCACACGGGGGAGCGGAACUACGGGUGCGCAGUGUGUGGCAAGCGGUUCGUCCAGCCUGCGGCCCUGCGCACCCACCGAAAGAUCCAUGAGCGGGAUCAGGCAAAGCCUCCUGUUGUUAAGGUUGUGGAAUCCUAAUUGAGAGGCAGAUCCCAGGAGUUAUAGUAUUUGAAUUCUUUCAAGCCAUAGUAUAUUCCUUUCCUUUCAAUGACAGAUUCAUCGAGUUGGCUUCAUAACUGUGAGACUACAUAGAAACUCUUAUGUACUCUUUUUAAGGACUUACAAGGGUAUAUUCUGAUCAUAGCGCCGUUAUUCGAGAAAAAACGCUUCAAUUCACAAGAUCCAAAGCCGCGGACUAAGCACAAUCUAAAAAAGUAUAUAUGUACAUGACCUUUAAAGCAGUCUCUAAUCUUCGUUCGGUAUCGUCGGUUAAUAACAUUCUACCAUGCGCAGAUUGUGGUGAUCGGUAAUAAGAAUUAAAAUUACCCAGAGCUGUAAUCGAUGAAGCUCCCAAAAACAUAGAUAUAACAACAAUUAUUGCGGAAUUGAUUUAAACAAAUUAAAGAAGCUAUUGAUAUACA